GCUUACGGCCAUACCACCCUGAACACGCCCGAUCUCGUCUGAUCUCGGAAGCUAAGCAGGGUCGGGGAGUUGGGUCUGUCUGUCUGCGUCCUGCAAGACGGAGGCGUAACUU
rnacentral:rRNA from 10 species